UACGUAGGUCGCAAGCGUUGUCCGGAUUUACUGGGCGUAAAGAGCGCGCAGGCGGCUGGUCAAGUCCGAUGUGAAAUCUCCCGGCUCAACUGGGAAACUGCAUCGGAAACUGAUCGGCUUGAAGAUGGGAGAGGGUAGUUGGGAAUUCCCGGUGUAGUGGUGAAAUGCGUAGAUAUCGGGAGGAACACCAGUGGCGAAGGCGACUACCUGGCCCAUUCUUGACGCUGAGGCGCGAAAGCUAGGGGAGCGAACGGG
rnacentral:rRNA from 1 species